AUACGGAGGAUCGGAGCGUUAUCCGGAUUUAUUGGGUUUAAAGGGUGCGCAGGCGGCCAUUUAAGUCAGCGGUUAAAUCGUGGGGCUCAACCCCAUUCUGCCGUUGAUACUGGGUGGCUUGAUUGCGGUCGAGGUUGGCGGAAUUCGUUGUGUAGCGGUGAAAUGCAUAGAUAUGACGAAGAACACCGAUUGCGUAGGCAGCUGACCAGACCGCAAAUGACGCUCAUGCACGAAAGUGCGGGGAUCGAACAGGAUUAGAUACCCUGGUAGUCCGCACAGUAAACGAUGAAUACUUGUUUUCGGCGAUAUAAUGUCGGAGGCAAAGCGAAAGCGAUAAGUAUUCCACCUGGGGAGUACGCCGGCAACGGUGAAACUCAAAGGAAUUGACGGGG
rnacentral:rRNA from 1 species